CUGGCCCCGCCGUCUUCCUCCAGUCUCUCUCCCGGAACCCAGCUAAGUUAUUCCUGGCCCCGACCUCCCCAGCUCCGCUUGUCCCCGCUGACCCCUCCCAAGUCCCUCCCUCCCGGCGCUAACCCCGCCCACUGACCUCUCCCCGGGCGUUGGCCUCGUCGACAAUCUUCACGAAGCGCUCGAUCUGCUCUGGGCCCGGCGAGCAGAAGUCUGGGAUACGCAGUCGGUGCAGGGUGAGGCCGGGGCAGCUGUCGCUGUGCGGGGGCCCGCGCUCCGUCAGUGACACCAGAUGAGAAAACUGAAGCUCUGGAGAGGUUCAGGAACUUGACCAAGAGAUGACUGGUGGCGGGGGAUUUGAAACCAAGCAGCCUGGCUCCAGAAUCUUUAACAAAACGAGCACAGGCUCCGGACGCGCAGGCUCAGUGGCCAUGGCUCACGGGCCCAGCCAUUCCGCGGCAUGUGGGAUCUUCCUGGACCACAGCACGAACCCGUGUCCCUUGCAUCGGCAGGCGGACUCUCAACCACUGCGCCACGAGGGAAGCCCUACCCACUACUAUUGAUGAAAAAUCCCAACCUCUUCUGGAGAAAAUGAUUGAUGGGAAGAGAACUUUUGAGGCCAUUAAAACACGUUCCUGAUUCUCUUUAUUUUAGUAAAAAACUAAAUAUACCUAUAUCCCCUCAGAUGAGAAAGACAAGUCAAGUUUCAUGUCUGAUCUAAGGAAAAUUCAAAUACUGGGUUUGAAAUGCCAAUAAUUCUAUUCAAUUUCUUUUCUCUUGUGCAAACACUGAGGAAUAUACACUAUGUGAUUAUUCUGAUGUUCACACAGUUGUUUAAGAUCAGAAAAUUUUCAGAUACAUAUAUAAUUUAUUUCUGGGAUUGCUUAUAAACCAUAAUAGAAACAAGAUUAAUCAGUGAGCUUUAUUUAUUUGAAAUUCAUGACACUCUAAAGACCGUCUUUGGGCAGAAAUAUAUUUGAUUCACAAGAAUGUGGAAAGAUGGUGGGAAGAAAUUUCUUUUAGUGGUUAGCUUUGUUUUAUAGUAUUUUGAUCUCCAAGGAUAUAGUAGUCUUAGCCUUUCUGGUCCUUUUGUUUCCAAAACUCUGUGCCUCUUCCAUUCAGUUAAACAAAUAUAUACCAGAUAUGCCUAGGUAAACAAAAUAUACUGGGCUAUACACUUGAAUGAAGAUACAGAGAAAAACCCCAAACUUACAUUUUAGUGCUGUAGAAGAUUGUUAUAACCAUGACCCCAAUGAGUCAUACCUACCAGUAUCCACACCCUUAUACAUUCUUCUGUCACAUUGACAUUGGGCUCAGCCACGUGACUUGCUUUGGCCAAUGGACAUAAACAAAUGUGAUGGAGGCAGAGAUUUGAUAAGCACUUGCACAUUGAGGCUUGUCCUCCUAGAACCCUGAGACCACCAUGCAAUGAAGAAGCCCAGCAUUAAAUACUAUGUGGUAGGAGAGGCCAGUUAAGUCCAAUAAUCAAGGGCAACCCUCCCAGCUGAGUGCAGUUGCAUCAGUGACGCAAGACAUGACCAGCAGAAGAAUGAUCCAGCUAACAUGGAAUAGUGAUAAUCAUGAGGUCAAGUAAGUUUUGGAAGAGUUUGCUACCGAGAUGGAAAACUGAUAUAAAAAUUGAUAUGCAGAAGUGGCACGUUGCUGUAUUAAAAACCUAAACUAUGUAGCAUUGGCUUUGGGACUGAGGGUCUGGCAGAGGUUAUAGGGACAGCAAUUAGAGUGCUGGUGGAGACCAGAACACCUGAGAGGAAACUGUUACUGGAGGCUGAUAAAGGGCACCCCAUAGUAUAUAAUAGUGACACAACUGGCAACACUGUUACCUCCAGUAAUUGGAAGACAGAGAAUGUACUUAAUCAAGUUGUGGGUGUGGCUUAAGAUUUCCACUUAGAAUGCUGAGGGGGUCAAUUAACUUUUUAAAAGUUAUAUAUAAUAGAAUAUGAGGAGAGAGAAACUAAAGAACUGCUCCAUUUGUAAGCAGAAUUUAAAGUACAUAUGGAGGGUCCAGGAUAUGCUGAGCUGGGAACUAAAACCAUUUCACAUUUCCAGUCUCUUCAACCUGCAAAAAAUUCUCAAAGUAAGAAAUGACCUCAGGAUACAGAUCAAAUCAAGAGUGUGGCUAUAAGACUCUGUGAAGACCACAGUAAGAUUUUACAUGGUGUCUACCAGACUCUCUUAGCUAGAUAAAAGGGCUUCCAAGAAUCUUAAGGGCAUUUUUCCCGUAGCACCUUGACAUGCUGAGCAAAGUAGAGGCCCAUCUUAAAAAUAAUUGUUAGUAUAGCUUUUGUCUAAUGAAAUGAACUAUAACCUGGUGUGUGGAAAGUCCACAAAGUUUAUAAAGGAACUGGGCCAGUUUAGACCAAAGCAUGCAGGAAGCAAGCUGAGAAAGUUACUCAGCUGCAAACAAAGGCUAUUUCUUAUUGAAAAAGAAGACCGCUUCAGAGGGCAGAGCUAACCACUUCCAGCGAAUAAAACUAGGCUCUAGCAAAGAACCAUUUCCCAUACUCAGAGUAGGAGGCUCUGCAACAUUUGUCUGGCUGGAUUUCAGAAUUGCUAUGGACCAGUGGCUGCUAUGUGGCUCCCUGUUCCUCCCCCUUAUAAAUGGCAGUGCCUAUUGGGUAUUCCAUUCUCACAGUUGUAUGCUGGGUAUGUGUAGAGCAGAUAAGUUGUUUUUUCUGUCCAUGAGUCCCUGAAUGGUGAGAAACCACACCUGAGAAGCUACAUGAGGAAUUGCCCUUGAGGAGCCUCAACCACAUCUGGACCUGAGCCAGAUCAGGAGAUCCUGGACUUGUAGUUUGAUGCCAUGAUUGGAUGAGCUCUUGAUAGUUUCAAAUAAGAGGGAUGUGAAUCACUAGGUCCAGGGAGAAGACUGUGGUACCUUGUUAUAGUAAUAACCCUCAAUAUAUUAUGCCCUAUGGUAUCCAUGCCCCUGGCUAUACAAUGACUCUAUGCUUGGCUAUAAGACUUG